rnacentral:ncRNA from 1 species
UCUUAUUCAGAGUGGUGGAGGUACAUAGGACCUGUGAAGCCACGGCAACCCCCGGUAUGGGAAGGUGCCAACCUGAGCGAAUUUAUCGAACAAUAA